rnacentral:rRNA from 1 species
CGGGGGGAGCAAGCGUUGUUCGAUUUACUGGGCGUAAAGGGCGCGUAGGCGGCCACCGCAAGUCGACUGUGAAAUCUCCGGGCUUAACCCGGAACGGUCAGCCGAUACUGCGGGGCUAGAGUGCAGAAGGGGCAACUGGAAUUCUCGGUGUAGCGGUGAAAUGCGUAGAUAUCGAGAGGAACACCUGCGGCGAAGGCGGGUUGCUGGGCUGACACUGACGCUGAUGCGCGAAAGCUAGGGGAGCGAACGGGAUUAGAUACCCCGGUAGUCCUAGCCUUAAACGAUGAAUGCUUGGUGUCUGGGGUUCUAUAGUCCCCGGGUGCCGUCGCUAACGCUUUAAGCAUUCCGCCUGGGGAGUACGGUCGCAAGACUG